rnacentral:lncRNA from 1 species
CUUCACUUUUCUAAGAGCUGGAGCUGGACCACAAUCCUGCAUCUAUUUGCUGUGUGUUGUUUUGGAGCACAGGCCUUGAUUAUUAACAUCCUAGAUUAUCUAAAUUACUUAAUAGUUAGCAGCAUGUAAUAGCUUUUAAAAAAGAAAUGGGGGGCAGCUGUGCGUUGUUUUUUAAUUUGCAUUUAUCAAAACAGCCCUGGCAAAAUAGUCAGUAUUUGAAAAUCUAAACUUCAGGCAGUUUUCCUAACUGUCAAGGGGCCCACUUGAGAAGUCCUGAGCCAAUGGCAAGCCUCGGGAUUCAAGCACAAAGGCCCCAAAUCUACUACCUGUUUCACAGCUUAAUGAGCCACUCCACAGGCAAACAUUCAGGAAACAUGAGCAAGGAAUGGGAAAUAUGAGGAAAGAGCAGUUUAGGUAUCUUUCCAAGGUAUUCUAUUCAAUUCCAAAAUGAAAUAAUGAAACGAAAAUAUUUGAGUAUACAUUAUUGAACCAAGGUUCAGACAGGAAGAAAUGCAAGUCAUUAAAUUCCUAUUUGUAAAGUAACAAGGAAACCGAAUGAUCACUAAGAUCCCUUUCAUCUGCAAAAUAUUCUGAUUGAAAUUAGAGGAAAAUUGCCUUUCUGUUUUCUUUUCUCUGAGAUCAGAGAAUCAAUGUUCAACAUACCCCACAGUGUUCUGAAAUCUCAAUCUUCCUUUUGUUACCGCAAAUUUAUUCAUUCAAUCAUCAAAGAGCUGUUGAGUAACGCUAUGUGCACUGGCUUAAAUAGCUUUGGGGCUGGGUUUGAAAUGGAAGGAAAGCUGACAUCCUUGCUUUAUACUCUCCCUUCAGCAGUCAGCCCUUUAAAAUCCCCGGAUGUGGAGCAGGCCAGAGGCCGAGUAGUUGGGUUCACACGCUCUGCUUCCGCUUCUGCGGCCCAGGGUUUCGCCGGUUCAGAUCCUGGGCACAGACAUGGCACCACUCAUCAGGCCAUUCUCAGGCGGCAUCCCACAUAGCAGAACCAGGAGGACCUACAGGUGGUCAUAAGAAGGGGACCGGCAAGGAGGUCAGCCUUGCAGACUCAGCUGAUCAACUGCAGGAGGCAUUGGCCUUCCCCUUCUCAAAUCUGACGUCUGAGACUCCAAAACUGAAGCCCCGCCUUUUCCCCGGUGUCACAGGCCUGCGUAUCAAUCUCUCUUCCUGAGAAAUGGCUAAGGAAAUAAAAUAGCACAGAAGCCUCUGUGUUCUCCUAGUUAGCUGGCCACUGCAGAAGGCCAGAGGCCAAGGGUUGCUGGUGGAAGUGCAUUUGUGCAGGACUCAUCGAUCAUCCUAGGAGCUCUGCGGAGUCAUCCCUUUCCCACAGCGGAAGCUGUUUUCAAGGAUGCAGCCUUGAGUGAGUAAGGCAUUGUUGAGACCGUCUGGACUGGAUAGGUGACUGAACCUCAUUAACACCCCUAUAAAAACUUU